GCUUACGGCCACAUCGGCCUGAGUACGCCUGAUCUCGUCCGAUCUCGGAAGCUAAGCAGGGUCGGGCCUGGUUAGUACUUGGAUGGGAGACCGCCUGGGAAUACCAGGUGCUGUAAGCU
rnacentral:rRNA from 1 species